GCGCGACGUCAUUCUCCUGUGGAUAAUCAUCGUGAGAGGACGUGUAUCGCUCCGGCUUCGGUGAUUCGAAUAAUUUUAUUCAUAUUUUGUUACCAAAUUUUAUAAAUUAAUCAGUUUUGUUUAUUUAAUAAUCUAUUUAUAUUAUUGUAGUAGUGGAAUUAAUUAGUGUUUUGAGUUUUUUUGUGUUUUUUUCUUGUCAUUUGUGUAUUUGAUUGUGAGGUUAUCGAUACUGCGUAGUAGCUUUAUUGAAUCUAGAUUGUCGGAAUAACAUCGAAAGAAAAAUGAUUUAUAGCAUGCAUAUGCCACGACGAUUCGUAGCUGAUGACGUAGCUUUUCUUCAAGAUUGGUAAGUUCCACAAAAAUUUGCUUAGAAUAGAUUUGUAUAAUUUUUUUAUCCAUAUUGAAACGAACGUACGAUGUAAAUUUGAUUUUAUUAAAUUAAAUUACGUUAAUAAUAUGUAUUUCGAUCUAAUACGUAUUUCGAGCUAAUACGUAUUUCGAGCUAAUACGUAUUUCGACCUACAUGUUUCGAUACUGCGUCUAUUAGUAAUGUUUAUAUAUAUUUCUCUUUCUUGUUCAAUAUUUUGCUCGAAGUACGUGACAUUUUUUCGUUGUAACCUUUCCAAAAAAAUUGGAAGUACGCGUUCGUGUUAUGCUCGACAUGUUUCGACAUGUUUCGACUUGUUGCUGAACUGCGCAUUUCUUUUUCCUUCGUUAUUUGAUAAUCGAAAUUAUGACGUGGCAAUUAUCGAUAUUCGUGUUAGAAAUUUUAGUAUUUUUCCUUGAGAUACGUGAUUUAUUUGCUAUAUACAUAGGUAAAAGUACAUAUUUUUUCAUUUUUUCGUAAUAUCUUUCUAAAAAAUUGGAAAUUGCGUCAUAUUAUAUACGUUUCGAUGUAUUUCUAUUUUUCCGAACUACUGCGCAUUUCUCUUUGCUCAUUCGUUAUUCGAUAAUCGAAAUUAUGACGUAAGCGUAAUUAUCGAUAGUAUUUAGAAGGCCAUUUUUCUUUGAGGUGCGUUUGUUUGCUGCUGCGUAAAAUCACCACCAUGAUAAACUGCGCCACCUAGAACGACCAGGAACAUAGGGAGACGUUUAUCCCGCUAAUCAGAUCGCGAAGGACAAAGCCCGUGAUACAUUGCGCCGCAGAUUGCCGUGGAAUAUUAUUAAAUGGGCCGCGUUCCCGAACACGAAGGUCUUCCCUCGAGCUCUUUAGCCGUAGGAUUAAGUAAAAUGGUGGACGGUUCCUAUUCCGGUGCGCAACAGGGCUCUUGGAAGUGG